rnacentral:RNase_P_RNA from 1 species
AAAGCAGGAUAAACGAUCGCGUCUUAUGACGUAAGUCCAGGAUGAGGAAAGUCCGGGCUCCAAAGGGCCAGGGUGCCCCGUAACGCGGGGGCGGAGUAAUCCGACGGAAAGUGUCGCAGAAAAUAACAGCCUACCUGUUUCCUUAUUAGGAAACAGCGGCAAUGGUGAAAACGUGGUGUAAGAGACCACGGUCUGCCCUGGAGACAGGGCGGUCGGACAAACCCCACCCGGAGCAAAGCCAAAUAGGGAAGGAUGAGGUUGGCUCGCCUCGUUUGACUUCCGGGUAGGCCGCAUGAGAAUAUGGGCAACCAUAUUCCCAGAUAGAUGAUCGUUCGUCAGUUAUUGAUGACAAAACCCGGCUUAUUUCCUGCUUUUUGC